AGUACGAAAUGUAUAAAAUGUUAUAAAGCAAUAUGUUAAGCGCUUCAAAUAUAUCAAGGUUUUUUCACCCAGCGUUUAUGUAGCACGUAUUUAAUCGCGUUUAUGUAGCGUUUAUCCACAUGGCUCCACCUUGUCUUGCUGUUGGUGUAAAGCUUCAGUUGUCUAUUCUUCAUCUCAAUGGCCUUGGUCUUCCAACACAUGUUUGAGGUAAGACUCGGUUAUGAGGCUUCUAUAGCGCUUUUGAAAGCUUUCAGCUUUGACGCCUUUUGGGAAGAGUGUUAACUAAGGUAGGUUUGGAUGGCAUUGUAAGCCUCACUUUUCAUGAGGCGUUCACCGGUGAAUUCGUGGAACGUGAUUCUGAUGUAAGGGUACACAAAGCUGGUGAAUUUGUUGGUGUACCUUCGAACACGGGCUUGAAGAGGAGGGGGGGGAACAAGCGCAUGAACAUGUCAUAUAUGAACAUGGUUGAGGCCAUGAGUGACCCUGCCUGUGUCCACAUCUGAUACAUGUUACUCAAUAAUCUUUGUGAGGAAGAGUUUCUAUUGUAUUUGUAGAGCUAUGAAGAGUGCAUAGUUUUGCUACAACAAAGUUUAGAUUAAGAGAUUUGUUAAGAAACAUCCCAAGGUUGCAGCUAUGCUGUCCCUAUAGAUCCCGCUGCAGCCAGCUGAGCCGGGAGAGCCUUUAGAAGUCCCAUCAGUAUUACACUUUACCCAGCAACAAAUAGGGGCGUGCAACUUUUCAAUUAAUUCAAGAAAACUUGAUAAAAAUAAACAACAAAUCAUCCAAUGAAACGACAAUUUGUCCGACAAA